UACGUAGGUGGCGAGCGUUAUCCGGAAUUAUUGGGCGUAAAGGGCGCGCAGGCUGUUAUGCGAGUCUGCUGUGAAAUGUACCGGCUCAACCGGUGCCUUGCGGCGGAUACUGCAUAGCUGGAGUACUGGAGAGGGAAGUGGAAUUCCCGGUGUAGUGGUGAAAUGCGUAGAUAUCGGGAGGAACACCGGUGGCGAAGGCGGCUUUCUGGCCAGUUACUGACGCUCAUGCGCGAAAGCUGGGGUAGCGAACCGGAUUAGAUACCCGU
rnacentral:rRNA from 1 species